rnacentral:rRNA from 1 species
AUUGAACGCUGGCGGCAGGCCUAACACAUGCAAGUCGAGCGAGCGGCGGACGGGUGAGUAAUGUAUGGGGAUCUGCCUGAUGGAGGGGGAUAACUACUGGAAACGGUAGCUAAUACCGCAUACCAUCAGAUGAACCCAUAUGGGAUUAGCUUGUAGGUGAGGUAACGGCUCACCUAGGCGAAGAUCCCUAGCUGGUCUGAGAGGAUGAUCAGCCACACGGGAACUGAGACACGGCCCAGACUCCUACGGGAGGCAGCAGUGGGGAAUAUUGGACAAUGGGCGAAAGCCUGAUGCAGCCAUGCCGCGUGUAGGAAGAAGGUCUUCGGGUUGUAAAGCACUUUAAGUAGGGAGGCGUUACCAACAGAAGAAGCACCGGCUAACUCCGUGCCAGCCGCCGCGGUAAUAC